GGCAAAGGCGCUGCAGCGCACCUUUUCAAAUGCGCAUGCGUACUCGUGACUGCUCGCUAGCUCUUCGCCUGAGUGGGAGCGUGCCUUUUACAGCGCGUGCGCACUGGGUCUCAAGAAGCGCUAGUUUCAUGCCGUGACCGCUUUCCCAGGUACCGCCGCUGUGACCUCGGUAGCUGCAGCUGCGGCCCCGGAAAAAGAUGGGAGGGAGUGUCCCUGUCCUUUCCUACGAGUCUUUCCCCCAGACAGAACUGUAGCGCUCAUGCCCAGUCCACAUGCACAUUGAGAUCGGCGCCUUGAGAAUUUCAGCGCACGUCAUGCCGUCACUGCCUCUGUAACCAUGGGAACGCAUGAGUCUCACGACGCAUGUGCCAAUCCAGGAUAUCGGCAAUCGACAUCUUUUGCUUGCGACCGGGCCGCAUGCGCUCCUUGCAGUACCAUCGAUGAAUUCAGAGUUCAGCCGGAUCAAGCUGUCAUUCUACGCGCAUGCGUACUUGCUUUCCCACAUGACGCGAAACCCUAUGCACCGACUCUUCCGUAGUGCGCAUGCGUAUUCAUGGCCGCUCAUCGAUGUUUUCGUCACACGACUGGGAGCCUAGCUCGUGAAGCUCAUUUCUUGCUGUUCUUGACGUCAGGGCCCAACGCUGGUUUCACGGCCCGCGUGGGUGUGGUCCCCAGCUGGGAGAGACGUAGGGUGGGGUACACCGCCAGGAGUAUUGAUCCUAGUGGGAAUUGUAGGGCUCAUUUGCAGUCCGCAUGCAUACUUAGAGUCGGGCCCUGACGGUUUCGGCGCUAGUCAUGCCAUCACUGUCCCUGUAACUAUGGGUACCCGUCCAUAACUCCUGCUCUGGCACAGCCUCCCGAUUCUCAGGACGCACGCGCCAAUUCGGAACAUCGGCCAUCGAUAGCUCUUGCCUGCUCCCAUUGAGCAUGCACCAGUUUGCUUGACAUCGAUACACUAGGCAUUCAGCUGAUCCGCGUAUAACAAGUCUUGCGCACGCGUAGUUGCUUUGCCCACUGACGGGAACCGCGAGGGCCCACCUUUUCCCAAGUGCGCCUGCGUAUUCAUGGCUGUUCAUCGAUAUUUUCGUCGUGCGACUGUGAGGCCGCCCCGUGCUGCGCAUGCGCGCUGGGCCUACCCCAGUUAUUCCUAAACGCCACUGCCGGUUUAGCAUACGGUAGUGCCGUGCCCCACUUGGCUGCAGCUGCGGGACCGCAGUGAGAGGGGAGGGGGUGUCCCUGCCUCUCGCUUCCCCUGAGUAUUGGCUUGGCUGGGAGGAGCGGCGGGAACUGUAGUACUCAUUUCCAGUGAGCUUUGAGAAACUAGUGCCUCGAUUAGUUUCGGCGAUCGUCCUGUUGUCAGUGCCUGUAUAACCAUGGAAAUCCAUUAAUAAUUUCAAAGCCAGGCAACGGUUCCUCAUUCCCACAACGCAUGCGCAAACGGUUUCACGAAUCCUACCAAGGCAUGCGUGCUUGCGUUGCCCAUUGAUGGGCAGGCGUGAUGCGCCACAUCCCGAAUCGCGCAUGCGUGCUUUUGACGUCUCCGUGCUACGCAUGCGCACUCUCCCCCGGCGAUGUUGGAGCGGCGAACACGUGCCCCGCAGAGCCGCGCUUCGCUGACGGGGGAGGGGCAUCCCUGCCGCCCUCCCAGCUAUUGCCCUGCCCCCUGGGGCGGGGGUUGCAGCCUGUGCCGGAUGCGGCCAGUGACUGCGCGGGCGGGCCCGGGGCGGCAAUCUCGGCGGGUCGCGCGGGGAGCUUGGACCCUUUCCGGGCAGUGCGGGCUCCUCCUCGUGCACCCGUCCUUGGAGCCAGCGUGUCAGCGAGGAGCCGCAGCGUGACAGAAGUGGGAAUUGGGGCAGAAGCACCCCCCCCCAGGAGCAGUCGGGUUUGCAAGGGGCACUGGGCACUCAGGCAGGUGUGCAGGGCUUGUGCCGGUCCCUUGGAAACGGGUAAGGCACCACGAGCAACAGGUACGCUCAGCAGACAGAACGCAUCAGCAGUUGCCUAGGCUUCUGCCUGGACGCACAUCAUUCCCAUGCCCUGCUCCAACCAUAAUGCCUCCAGUGACUGCAGCUCUUUCCUGUAACUCAGGGGUAGGCUGCGCUGCCCUGAGGUGCAUACGCAGUCACUGCUGUCAUAACCCAAGUGUAUGAUUGUGUGUGUGCUUCAGCACUGCAGAAUUAUUUCCCGCCACAAGGAGCUUUCUUUGCACGGUGCAAUUCUCAGCUGCAGAGAGAAAAACCCCGGUGCAAAGGAGUUCCCGCCAUUCGGAUGCAAAUUUGUGUCCCACUAUUGGCCAGUUCUAAAUUAUUCCCACGUGGCGGCUAGCAAUUGGCUUGCUAGCCGUAUAAGAGGCUUGAGCGGUUUCCGCCCAAGUUGGAGAACUCCGAGGAGAACCCCGCCAAGGAAGACUCCCUAACCAUCUUGUGGAGAACUCUAAGUGCGCUGUGGAGCUUAACAAACCCCGUGUGUGCCUUAGAGGAGGAUACAGGGGCCUGAUCAACCUCUAGCCUCUCCCCGUCGCCGCUUGAUCCCUUGACGUACCCUUCCCUGCGCGCUCAUUCUACGGAGCCUAACAAGCUUUGUGUGUGUGUAUCCAGAGCUCUGCCCGAGUUAUUUCAAGAGGCUCGAGUUUUUCUAUGGGUCUUGUUCGUACGAGUUUUGUAACUGCAACUUAAGCAAAGUUUUCUCCUGCCUGCACCGCGACCAUCUACGGUGUAAGUAAAAUAAUCUUUAAUUAA